rnacentral:lncRNA from 1 species
AAUUGAUUCAAAACAUUUCUCUUUCAUAGUUAUUUUGACUUUGAGGAAGAGCUAGAAGUCCCACACUGCGAGAUCUGCUCUUGAAUGAAAAGCAAGUAAGAGUUGAAGAUCAGUGCAGAACAGGAAACCAGGGUAGUGCUGUCCAGUCUGACUCCAGAGUCUAAGAGGUACACAAGUCUGAAAGGCCCAAACAUCUCAUCAGUAACUGGCCAAGGUGUUCUGGAGUGAAGAGAUGGAGCCAGGGGACCUUGAUGGGCAAGUUACUGCCGAACACAACCUCCUUGGAGAGUUGCCAAACCUGCCGAGGGAAGCCAAAGGGGCUGGGGACUUGUUUGCUAUAAAUUAAGCACAGGCUCAUCCAACCUUGACUAAUACUUGAAUUUGUUUCUUCUCAUUGUAUUGUCCAGCAUUCUCAUCAAAAUGAUACCCUUACUAUUGUUAUGGCC